CCUACGGGAUGCAGCAGUGAGGAAUAUUGGUCAAUGGACGCAAGUCUGAACCAGCCAUGCCGCGUGCAGGAUGACGGCUCUAUGAGUUGUAACUGCUUUUGUACGAGGGUAAACCCCGAUACGUGUAUCGGGUUGAUAGUAUCGUACGAAUAAGGAUCGGCUAACUCCGUGCCAGCAGCCGCGGUAAUACGGAGGAUCCGAGCGUUAUCCGGAUUUAUUGGGUUUAAAGGGUGCGUAGGCGGUUUGAUAAGUUAGAGGUGAAAUGUCGGGGCUCAACCCCGAAACUGCCUCUAAUACUGUUGGACUAGAGAAUAGUUGCGGUAGGCGGAAUGUAUGGUGUAGCGGUGAAAUGCUUAGAGAUCAUACAGAACACCGAUUGCGAAGGCAGCUUACCAAACUAUAUCUGACGUUGAGGCACGAAAGCGUGGGUAGCAAACAGGAUUAGAUACCCUUGUAGUC
rnacentral:rRNA from 1 species